UAUAAGACUGGGAUAACUUCGGGAAACCGGAGCUAAUACCGGAUAACAUUUAGAACCGCAUGGUUCUAAAGUGAAAGAUGGUUUUGCUAUCACUUAUAGAUGGACCCGCGCCGUAUUAGCUAAUUGGUAAGGUAACGGCUUACCAAGGCGACGAUACGUAGCCGACCUGAGAGGGUGAUCGGCCACACUGGAACUGAGACACGGUCCAGACUCCUACGGGAGGCAGCAGUAGGGAAUCUUCCGCAAUGGGCGAAAGCCUGACGGAGCAACGCCGCGUGAGUGAUGAAGGGUUUCGGCUCGUAAAACUCUGUUAUUAGGGAAGAACAAAUGUGUAAGUAACUGUGCACAUCUUGACGGUACCUAAUCAGAAAGCCACGGCUAACUACGUGCCAGCAGCCGCGGUAAUACGUAGGUGGCAAGCGUUAUCCGGAAUUAUUGGGCGUAAAGCGCGCGUAGGCGGUUUCUUAAGUCUGAUGUGAAAGCCCACGGCUCAACCGUGGAGGGUCAUUGGAAACUGGGAAACUUGAGUGCAGAAGAGGAAAGUGGAAUUCCAUGUGUAGCGGUGAAAUGCGCAGAGAUAUGGAGGAACACCAGUGGCGAAGGCGACUUUCUGGUCUGUAACUGACGCUGAUGUGCGAAAGCGUGGGGAUCAAACAGGAUUAGAUACCCUGGUAGUCCACGCCGUAAACGAUGAGUGCUAAGUGUUAGGGGGUUUCCGCCCCUUAGUGCUGCAGCUAACGCAUUAGCACUCCGCCUGGGGAGUACGACCGCAAGGGUUGAAACUCAGAG
rnacentral:rRNA from 1 species